CGGGGGGGGCAAGCGUUGUUCGGAAUUACUGGGCGUAAAGGGCUCGUAGGUGGCCAACUAAGUCAAACGUGAAAUCCCUCAGCUUAACUGGGGAACUGCGUCUGAUACUGGAUGGCUUGAGUUUGGGAGAGGGAUGCGGAAUUCCAGGUGUAGCGGUGAAAUGCGUAGAUAUCUGGAGGAACACCGGUGGCGAAGGCGGCAUCCUGGACCAAUACUGACACUGAAAAGCGAAAGCCAGGGGAGCAAACGGGAUUAGAUACCCCGGUAGUCCUGGCCCUAAACGAUGAAUGCUUGGUGUGGCGGGUAUCGAUCCCUGCCGUGCCGAAGCUAACGCAUUAAGCAUUCCGCCUGGGGAGUACGGUCGCAAGGCUG
rnacentral:rRNA from 1 species